AGUGAACGCUGGCGGUAGGCCCAACACAUGCAAGUCGAACGGCAGCACAGUAAGAGCUUGCUCUUACGGGUGGCGAGUGGCGGACGGGUGAGGAAUACAUCGGAAUCUACUUUUUCGUGGGGGAUAACGUAGGGAAACUUACGCUAAUACCGCAUACGACCUACGGGUGAAAGCAGGGGAUCUUCGGACCUUGCGCGAUUGAAUGAGCCGAUGUCGGAUUAGCUAGUUGGCGGGGUAAAGGCCCACCAAGGCGACGAUCCGUAGCUGGUCUGAGAGGAUGGUCAGCCACACUGGAACUGAGACACGGUCCAGACUCCUACGGGAGGCAGCAGUGGGGAAUAUUGGACAAUGGGCGCAAGCCUGAUCCAGCCAUACCGCGUGGGUGAAGAAGGCCUUCGGGUUGUAAAGCCCUUUUGCUGGGAAAGAAAAGCAGCAGGUUAAUACCCCGCUGUUCUGACGGUACCCAAAGAAUAAGCACCGGCUAACUUCGUG
rnacentral:rRNA from 1 species